rnacentral:rRNA from 1 species
UACGUAGGGUGCGAGCGUUAAUCGGAAUUACUGGGCGUAAAGUGUGCGCAGGCGGCCGAGCAAGUCGAGUGUGAAAGCCCCGAGCUUAACUUGGGAACUGCGCUCGAAACUACUUGGCUAGAGUGUGGCAGAGGGAGGUGGAAUUCCACGUGUAGCGGUGAAAUGCGUAGAGAUGUGGAGGAACACCGGAUGGCGAAGGCAGCCUCCUGGGCCAACACUGACGCUCGAUGCACGAAAGCGUGGGGAGCAAACAGG